rnacentral:snRNA from 1 species
GUGCUCACUUCAACAGCACAUAGACUAAAAUUGGAACGAUGCAGAGAAGAUUAGCAUGGCCCCUGUGCAAGGAUGACAUGCAAAUUCAUGAAGCAUUCCAUAUUUUU